GUAUGAUUGAAGUUCAAAGCCAGCAAGGAGUUCUCCUUGCCAUUGUUUCUCUAGCCUGCCUUGGUUGUAUUUAUGCUCUCUGUCUGUGCUGGGGAAAGAAAUCUACUAUGCAACAAGAGGACAAUGACCUGUAUGACCAAGAUCAUUUCAAUCCGGACAGUGAAUAUGCUGAAAGCAGUAAACAGAAAACAGCGCUAAGACCAAACCAAAGAGAGAUGCCUUCAACCUCAAGGCGAUCACCGACGAACAGGCCUGUCAAUAAUAACCCCCAAUGGAGUUAUCAAAACAUUACAGAUGAAAAUGGCAUCUUGGAACCAACAUAUGUGGACCCAAUUCCAAAUUCGCUUUAUGCAAACGAGGACGACACAGAUACGGAUACCAAUUUGGACACAGGAACAUACGAGAAUGUUUUUCCAACACCAGAAGUGCGACAUGACUCAGAUAGCUGUAAUUAUGAAAACUGGGACAAUAGAGAUGAGGAUGAUGAACCAGACUACGUGAAUGAAAUCAUAUAGGAACCUUUUUUUGUAUCAGAAUAACAUGAGAUUCUAUUCUAAGACAUGUUGUUGUUUUUUUUAUCUCCUUUUAGAUUGUUAUUACAUUAAAAUGAAGUAAUCAAUUACUUUUGAAGUAAUAAAUUAAGAUUGAGUGUGAAUGUGCGUAGUCUU
ensembl:lncRNA